CUCAGCAGGCUGGGAAGUCACGGGUCCGGGCAGCCGUGGCGGGCACCCCCACCCGGGCGCGGUGCCCCUCCCGACGGCUCUGGGGGAAGGCCCGAGGGGCCGGCCCCCUCCUCGGCCCCCUCGCCCCGCCCCGCUAGGACAGGCCCGGCGUGUCCACGAAGGCCACCCUGACCCCAUCGCCCGCGCACAAUCACUCGGUCCCUUCUGUGGGCCUGACCGAAAUGGGCAUCGCGGGCCAGGGGCUCCUGGGGACCCGCCUGUGGUGCGGUUCCCACCUGCUGCUGGUGGGCCGUCCUCCCGCCGCGCGCCCACCCUGGCAGACAGGCAGGGGCUGGCUCCCCUGGGUGCCCGGAGGGUAGAGCCCCAGGUCCCAGAGGAGGAGGAAAACAGGGUGGGGGUGCAGCCAGCGGAAGAUAAGGACCCAGGGGAGUGACUACACACCAGGGACACAGAAGGCAAUGCCAGGAGGUGGGCUGGGCCUGCAGGGAGACGGCAGAGUCCCCAAGGGGCAGGGGCCCCAGGGCGGCUCCAGCUGCGGGCUGCAGAGGCACACAGGCAGCGGCAGAGACAGGUCCUAGGGGACAAGGUCCGCUCCCCUCUCCUGAUCUCCUCCCAGCACCCCCCGGCUGCCUUCCACCCACCCCGCUGCCCAACCUUGCCCUCGGCCCCUCCGGAGCCACCAGGGAGGCCCCGGCCCCAGCCCCAGCCCCCACCUGCCUCCUGGCCCUGGAAGGUCAGCCGCCCCCACGAGCUUCUGGAGGAGCCGACCCUGGGGCCUGAGGGGCAGGGAGCGCCUGAGGAGGGCUGCUGUCCCGCACAGCCUGCUCCGACACGCAGCCCUCAAAGCCGCCCCAAACUUCUCAGGCCACCUGCCAAAGCGCUUAGCAGCUCGUAGCGGAGGCGGGACACACCUCCUCCCGCCCCCCCACAUCCGUGCUCCCUCGGUGGCCUCGGAGCGCAGGCACGGAGCUUCCCCCUCCCCAGGCUGAGGCCGAGGCCCAAGGUCAGGGGAUGCACAGCCACGUUCAGCGGGGGUCGUCCUGACUCGCACACGGCGGCCUUCACGGGCAGCAGAGGGAGCACGAGGUGGGCAGUGUCUCCGAACAGGGCCCUGACCCCGUCUCUGUCCCCACUACCACCCUCCAAGGCCCCACCCCGCAGGCCAUCCGUGGGGGUGAGAGUCUCAACACACGAAUCAGUGACGGAGUGACUGUGUUGUCGAGGCCACUCCGUCUGUGACGCUUUGCUACGGGAACCCCGUCAAAGCCCCAGGGGCCAGCUGGCUGCGCACCGUGGGGUCACUGGCGCUCACACCCUCGAGCCCGUGGCUGGGCCUCUUUAUUGCCGGUCACAUCAGGCGCACACAGCCGCUCCACUGCAGGGGGACGACGGUCGCGUCUGCUGCUCUGACCAGGCUGCUGCAUGGUUGCCGGACCUCGGCUGUUGGGAAAAAAUGCUUCCAGGAACUCUGGCCCAUGGACACGUGGCCCCUGGAGUGACACUGCUGGGCCACAGGACAUGCUGCGUUCCCCUCUACCACGUAACCCCGGAGAAAAAUAAACCCGCACAGAAAUAAAAAUGUUAUGUCCGCUGGCAACGUAGGAGGGUUCCCUCUGCUGCGCGUUUCUGACAACCCCGCACACGCACGGUUUCACAAUUUCAGCCUUUCUGGUAGGUUUGGUGUUGAGGAAGGCUCCAGACCCUUGCCCCAGCUUCAUCUGCCACCUGACGCUCUUCCCGUAAGGCCCUGGCCCGAGCUCCACCAUUUUUCUAUCAAGCGUCUUUUCCUUAAUGACUCAUAGUUCAUCGUAUGCUCUGGAGGGGACAGUUGUGUCCGCUGCAGUCCACACUCCCCAGCCGCGCGCCCACACCCCAGAACUGGGACCACAGGGACAGGGAACCAGGGCUCCUGGGGAAAUGCAGGCUCGGCCUCCUGGGAGCCCCUGGUCGCAGGACUCUUGCCAACGGGUCCACGCAGAGCCCUGUUUCGUGCGGCUUCCGUUUACAGGUCCCUCGUCCAAGACACUGCAGACCCAUGAGGAACCGUGGCGCCGGCGCCACUGACCUUGGCCGGGUCGGAACCCGCGCAGCUCGCGGUCACAGCCGCGGGUGCUGGGGGCCUGGGAUCUCCAGCACCACGCAGGGGGCACGUCGGGCCGGGGCCACCGGCCAGAAGCACAAAGUGAGGGGAAAGCGGCCCAGAGAGACACCACGAAGGACGCUGCUUUCCUGUGUGAGCUGCGCGCCGCCUUGCUCUGCCUCCGCGUGGGACGCCAGGCCACUCUCAUUUCUCGGUGCUCGGGAGAAAAGAGGAGAACUGCGAGUCUCUAACGCCGUGUGUGCUGCUCCACCGACAGCUCCCUCCCCACUGCUCGCAGCCACCGCCACCACCACCGGGUCUGCAGGGGCCUUCUGCAGGUGUCGCCCACAGGCUGGCAAGCGUGCAGUGCCUGGUCCCAGGCGCCCCCACGGAUCGGAUGAGCCUUCUUCCGUCGUGUCCUUGUCACGUUGGCCGCGAGGGCUGUACGUUAUCUCGGUGUCAGCAUUUCCUGGUAAAGCAGCAAAUGUUUAAUCCUGUUGCGAAAGUCCACGUGAUCCAGUCCUUCGGGUUAACUGCCAGGGCCGUUCCUGGAAGCUGUUUCCUGUGCCAGGGUGACUGGUGUUGACGCCGCGACACAAGGAAGUGACUGGGAACACCACAAAUGCGCUCGCCGCUCGGCUAAAUCGCACCUGAGGUUUCCAGCCCCUGGCGUCCCGGUGGCGGAUCCACAAUCCCAGAAGGCUCGCCACCUCCCCAGAGGCCCCGGUGGUUGGGAAGCACGGGGAGCUGCGGUGGCGGGGACCCCUGCGGUCCUCCUGUCGUCCUUUAGCAAACUGUACGGAGCCAUCUGCCCUGACGGCACCACCAAGGCCCUGCGGGAACCCGCCAGCCUGCGAGCUGCUGCGUCCCUGUCCACCUCCGCCAUCCUGACCCCAGCUGGCAGGUGCUCCGGAUGGGCGGGCCGCGCUCCCUCACACGCCUGCUGCCUUCUGUCCUCCAGAGUGUGAGCCCGCCUUCCCGAGCUCGUGGCCCCUUCCUCCAUCAUUGAACCGCAGCAUCUUUACCCUAAAAUGUGUACCCAGGAUUUUUCUUAAAGAUCGUCUUUAUUUAUUUGAGAGAGAGAGAAAGAGAGCGAGCAAGCGGGGGAGGGGGGCAGAGUUAGAGGGAGAAGCAGACGCCCCACAGAGCAGGGAACCGGAUGUGGGUCUGGAUCCCAGGACCCGGAGCCGAUGCUUGCCCACUUGCUCCACUGGGCCCCCCGCCCAGGACAUGUUUUAAUCAGAUGGGGUUAGGUGACAACAACCAAGCUCUGCCCUUGGAAGGGUGAUUUAUUACUCACGUUCCCCAAGAGAAGGGGGUGCACCACACUCGGUGGGCCCCAGGGGAAGCAGAAACCAGAAGCCGGAGCAAAGGGAACCUGGCCCAGAGCCUUUUCUGGGGUGACGAUUGGGUGGUCUGAAGAAUUUCGCAGGCCCAGGCUGCAGCGCAGUCCCCAGGUGUCCCGUGCCUGGCCUUGGGGUGCUGUGGGGGAAGAGGGUUGGCUUGGCGUGUGAGACACGACGGGCGGGUCGGGGGCCUGGGCUCCUCUCCAGGAGCCGCGUGGUGCCGGAGGGGCCCCGGGACCACGACCCCAGAUGCCGGAGCAUUGAGAAUGAAGAAAAUAGGUAGAGUCAGGGGUGCGGGGUGGGGGGGUUACGUGCCAGGAGGUUCAAGCCAGACUGUGUUUCAGAGGGAAAAUGUAAGAUUCGGCCUAGGAGGAGGACGGGGAAAGGUGCCGGCCCAGGGGAGGCGCCCGCCGGCCCUUCCCUCCCAGCUCCCUCCCGCCAGCCAGAGGCUUGAGUGAAAAGCCUGAAACCAGAAGGAAAGAAAAACAGAAGAAGGGAGAAAAUGCACGCCUGACUUUGCCUGGAAAAAUUAAGAGCGACUAGCGGUGGAUUGGCACAACCUGGUGCCGUGCUCGCACCCAUCAGGGCCCCACACCCAGUCCCCCACGCCAUUUACGACCUACCCAGCCGCGGGAGAAGGGUUUGCUCUUGCCCACGGGCUGAGACUGCGGCUCUGGGCGGACCCGAAAGCCGCGUGCGCCUCCCCCCCGCCCGUGGGUGCUACACGGCCCCCCGAGCCCUCCGAGGGGACUCCUGGACAGGGUCCCAUUGGCUCCCACUGGCGACGCACUCGUCCCCAGGCCCCGGCUGCCGGGGGCCCCUGGGAGCUGGCAGGCCGUGUGAAUGGCACCCUGGGCGCAGGACGGCCCUGCAUGGACGGACCCAGACCCGGCGCAGCGCGUGCCCCAGCGACAGCGCCCGUCUCCACACUCGUACACGUCGGGCUGUUGCCGAGACACUGGCCCUUGAGGAAGAACGCUGGGAAUCUCUUGCCUCAGAGAUGCCAACACUAUCCCCGAAGAGCACGCGUGUCUCCAGCUUCUGUGUGAUCAUCUUGUGCCCUAAUCCUCUGCUGUAUUCAAGCCCCAGGAGCCCCGACACUAUGGUUUUGUAGAGAGAGGCAGAGACCCAGGCGGAGGGAGAAGCAGGCCCCUGCAGGGAGCCCGACGCGGGACUCGAUCCCGGGACCCCAGGAUCACACCCUGGGCUUCGGGCGGCGCUAAACCGCUGAGCCACCGGGGCUGCCCCUGACCGUGUCUUUCGAGUAUAGUCCUGCUGGAUUUGGCGUUCCAGGUCUCGGUGUCCUCGCCGCGGGUUCGGCGCUUCCCUCCCAGGCCCGGGGGCAGCGGGCCUGGGCCUGUGCCUGUGCUGGGGGCCCCGGGGCUCCGGGCUCUGCUCCGCCGCGCCUGCGGGCCUCCCGCGCCUCUGCACAACCGCCGGCCUGGGCUCUCCGGACACGGCUUCUGACACCGGCCCGGGGGCGGGCCUCGCGGGCUGCGGUCUCGGUGGUCGCUGAGCAC